rnacentral:rRNA from 1 species
CGGCAGCACGGGGGCAACCCUGGUGGCGAGUGGCGAACGGGUGAAUAAUACAUCGGAACGUGUCCUGUAGUGGGGGAUAGCCCGGCGAAAGCCGGAUUAAUACCGCAUACGAUCUACGGAAGAAAGCGGGGGAUCCUUCGGGACCUCGCGCUAGAGGGGCGGCCGAUGUCAGAUUAGCUAGUUGGUGGGGUAAAGGCCUACCAAGGCGACGAUCUGUAGCUGGUCUGAGAGGACGACCAGCCACACUGGGACUGAGACACGGCCCAGACUCCUACGGGAGGCAGCAGUGGGGAAUUUUGGACAAUGGGCGCAAGCCUGAUCCAGCCAUUCCGCGUGCAGGAUGAAGGCCCUCGGGUUGUAAACUGCUUUUGGACGGAACGAAAAGGCCUUUUCUAAUACAGAGGGCUCAUGACGGUACCGUCAGAAUAAGCACCGGCUAACUACGUGCCAGCAGCCGCGGUAAUACGUAGGGUGCAAGCGUUAAUCGGAAUUACUGGGCGUAAAGCGUGCGCAGGCGGUUUGUAAGACUGUCGUGAAAUCCCCGGGCUCACCUGGGAAUGGCGAUGGUGACUGCAGGCUAGAGUUUGGCAAGGGGGGUA